rnacentral:rRNA from 1 species
GCUUUCCCUCCAGAGUGGAUCCUGAGUACGGCGGAACACGUGAAAUUCCGUCGGAAUCCGGGAGGACCAUCUCCCAAGGCUAAAUACUCCCUAGUGACCGAUAGGGAACCAGUACCGUGAGGGAAAGGUGAAAAGCACCCCGGAAGGGGAGUGAAACAGUUCCUGAAACCGGGUGCCUACAAGUAGUUAGAGCCCGUUAAUGGGUGAUAGCGUGCCUUUUGUAGAAUGAACC